GGGUGCAGCAGGGACAGAGGUAUUGGGGUGCAAGCCUUUCCCUCCUUACCCUCCUGCAUCACUUGGUGUGAGGGUGAGUCCAUGGUGGCUCAGCUCUCCCACACCACAUCUUCAGGCCUGUGGUGCGGGGGGGGUGGGUCAUCCCCGAUGCUGUUCCCCAUUGGCCCCAGUUUUGCUACUUGUAGCUAAAUUUGGCAUUUCUUACACUGUCACUGAGCAAUCUCAGCCUCCUCUGGGUCAGUGCUGAGGUACCGAUGAGCUCUCGCUCCCACUGAGCACCAGCACGUCCUCCCCGUGCAGGCAGCCUGGGUCACAGCUUCUGAGGAAUUUUGGCCCCACCACCCCCACCCUGUUCCCUCUGGGUCCCCUCUCUGGCCCAUGAGCCCUCAGGCAGCCCUGUCUCCUCUGUGGGUGCUGGGGCUGCAGCUCCUGUGGGGCCUUCUGGCUUGUGGCCCUGUCAGGGCAGCCUCUGAGGACACUCGGGUCUCUCUCUGGGUAACCACUGAGGUGUCUGCAGUCCCUUCUGGUGGAGGCUGCUGCAGGUUUUGGGGUACCCAGGCACAUAACCCCCUCCCCCCAUCUGGUCUGGCACUAUAGUGCAGGGAGAUAAAGAUGAGGUUCUGCAGCACUGUGGGAAAGUGAGGGUAGAGGAGGUGGGGGGGCUGUAAACAUGCUCCAGGGACUCGCACGGGGGGCGCUGGAAAACAAUCCCUCGCAAUGACUGUUGUUUAGUCUCGUGGAGCAGCACAACCUGCACUGAGAAAACGUGGGGCUGUGAUGGCUCUUUGCCCGCACUGCACCCCCCCACCUUUGGGACAUGGCAGCAGGAGGGGCUUGGUUGAGAGACAGAGUGCAAUGGGGUGUGGGAGAUGUCUGUCUGUCUGUCCGUGUGUGUCUUCCUGCAGGCACGGGCAGCUGGGACACGGCACCCUGGAGUCUGAGCCACAGCCACGGCUGGUGGAGGCCUUGGCCGGUGUCCCCAUGCAGGCGGUGGCAGCCGGAGGGUGGCAUUCGGCCAGUGUCAGCGAGGCAGGAGACCUCUACGUGUGGGGCUGGAAUGAGUCAGGGCAGCUGGCCCUGCCCUCCAAAGCGCUGGCAGAGGAGCAGGCACAGGCGGAGGACACGGGGGGUGCAGGGGACGCGGAGCUGAGGUCCCCCCAGGAGCAGCCGGUGGCCGAGGACGCCGCCUUCAUUUCCAUCCAGGCGUUCCCGGCGCUGCUGGACCUGCCGCAGGAGCUGGAGGUCACCCAGGUCAGCUGCGGGUCCCGGCACACGGCCGUCAUCACACGAGGCGGGGAGCUCUUCACCUGGGGCUGGGGCGCUGCGUGACAGACCUGGGCUUACAACCCGAGCGGGGAACAGCACGGAGCCCCCUCACCGCCAGGGACAAUGCCCCGGGGAUGGUCUGUGGCAUGGCGAAGCAGCAGGUGGUAGAGCUGCCACUGCUCCUUCACGUACUCCAUGAACUGCUGCCCCUUCACCAGGAAAGGCUUUUCCUGCUCCUGCUCAAAGGCCUGGAUUUUGUUGUCCAGCUCCUCCUGCAGCUGAGGACGACACAGGGGUAGUUGUGAGAGGCUGCCCCUGGGCAGCUCCCCACCCAGAGAUGGCCCUUGCUGGCUCCAAGGGCUGCACUUCUCGGACAACAUUCUUAGGCCUGUCUGGGACUACAGAAAGAGUAGUGCUGGAGCCCCUCUGCUGCGAGGACAGGAGAGAGCUGGGGGGGUCCAGCCUGGAGAAGAGAAGGCUCCGGGGAGAUCUUAUAACGGCCUUCCAGUCCCUCAAGGGGCUCCAGGAAAGCUGGGG